AUGAACGCUAGCGACAGGCUAACACAUGCAAGUCGAGGGGUAACAGGGUAGCAAUACCGCUGACGACCGGCGCACGGGUGAGUAACGCGUAUGCAACCUGCCUAUAACUGGGGAAUAGCUCCCUGAAAGGGGAAUUAACACCGCAUAACACUAUUGAUUCGCAUGGAUUGGUAGUCAAAUGUAGCGAUACAGGUUAUAGAUGGGCAUGCGUGACAUUAGCUAGUUGGUGAGGUAACGGCUCACCAAGGCUACGAUGUCUAGGGGUUCUGAGAGGAAGGUCCCCCACACUGGUACUGAGACACGGACCAGACUCCUACGGGAGGCAGCAGUGAGGAAUAUUGGUCAAUGGGCGCAAGCCUGAACCAGCCAUGUCGCGUGCAGGAAGACUGCCCUAUGGGUUGUAAACUGCUUUUAUAGUAGAAGAAACACAUCUACGUGUAGAUGUCUGCCAGUAUACUAUGAAUAAGCAUCGGCUAACUCCGUGCCAGCCGCAGC
rnacentral:rRNA from 1 species